rnacentral:tRNA from 1 species
CGAGGCGGAAGCCGUGCGGGCGGCCUGGGUCGCCAUCGACGUCCCGCAGUGCGGCUACUGCCAGUCCGGCCAGAUCAUGUCGGCCGUGUCGC